GUCCACGCCGUAAACGAUGUCGACUAGCCGUUGGGAGCCUUGAGCUCUUAGUGGCGCAGCUAACGCAUUAAGUCGACCGCCUGGGGAGUACGGCCGCAAGGUUAAACUCAAAUGAAUUGACGGGGGCCCGCACAAGCGGUGGAGCAUGUGGUUUAAUUCGAAGCAACGCGAAGAACCUUACCAGGGCUUGACAUGUGGGUGAAGCGGCGGAGACGCCGUGGCCUAGCGGAGCCCACACAGGUGGUGCAUGGCUGUCGU
rnacentral:rRNA from 1 species